rnacentral:lncRNA from 1 species
UAUUAUUAUUAUUAUUAUUAUUAUUAUUAUUAUUAUUAUUAUCUUGAUUUUGUUUUAAUUUUUGGGUGUUGAUUGAAUUUAGUUAGGUCUUUAUGAUUUAAGAUGAAGGAGAUUGAGAAGAUGAAGAUUAGGGCAAAAGAGUCAUUUUACUUUAAAACCUUUUUUUUAAUGCUGCCAGAGACGAACGUUGCAGCAAAACUAAAUUUGAUUGUUAGUUAUUUGUGUUUUUUUUUUUAAAUUUUUUAUUAUACACAAUAUUCUGCUAAUGUUUGUAAGAAAUAAUCUUUUUCUUUCUCACAGGGCUUGAGUGAUCACUCUCCAAUAUUCAUUAUCCAUCAUGAAAGAUGAAUCACAAGUUUUCUGGUGUUUUGUUUUUUUUUCUUUUUUUAUGGGAAGAUUAGGUCCGAAUAUUAACCGUGAUCAAGGGUUUUUUGGUCAUUUAAUUUGAAAUUUGAAGGAAUUUGACAGGGUUGAAUUGUGUCUGGAUUUUCAACCAAAUGCACCAUUGAAUGGAAUCCACAAUUCCAAUUCUUGGCUGCAAAUCAAUUACCAAAAAUAGUAUUUCAAGAAAAUCCAACAGAACUGAAUUCCGUCCCAAUUGUCAACCAAACACGUCAUGAAAUGGAAUAUCGAAUUCCAAUUCUGUCGGAACCCGCGAUUCCAUUUGUUAGCUGCAGUUUCUAACAUGUAUAUUAUUACUGUUUUGAUAUGGCAGCUCAUGUCACAACUACUUCAAACAAAACAACUGCUUCUGUUUACUGGAUUCUGAUAUAAUUCAAAAAGGCAAGUAAGUUUACUCUUCUACCCUCACAAACUACACUACUAAUUUGACAAUUUAGAAAGUUUUUUUUUUUUUGGAAAAAGAUGGUAUUAUGGUGGCUCAGUUGGACUUAAUCACAUCAUGUCAAAAUUGUUGUUUGUUUUAGACUUCAUGGGGGGACAAAACUUGACAUUGUAUUUUCAUUUGUAUUUUAUAAUCAGUAAGGCUUAUUGAUGAGUAUGAUAAAUUUAUGUAUUUUAUAAUCAGUAAGGCUUAUUAUUGAUGCUCAAUAAGGUGUGUGGUUAUUGCAUUGAAUCUCAAAUAAGGGUGCUGGGUGAUUACCACUGAUUACAAAAAGAUCAUAUGAGUCUAUGACCCUGUUUGUGUAUUUCCAGAAAUACCCAUCUGUUCCUAACCUAAAACUUAUGUUUAUUUAUUAUCUUCAGGAAAUGAUGGGAUUAACACACUUCAUGUUGAUCCAAUCAAAUAAAGAUGUUGAAUAUUGCAUGGAAAACACCUUCAGCAGUUAUUUAGUAGACCUGUUUUUUUUUUUUUUUUGAAAAAAUAUAUAUAUAUUUGUAAUUUAUUCAUUUCUUUUAUUUAUUUUGAAAAGUGUUGUUUUAUUUAGUGAAUUGGGACAUCAGGGAAGGGAAAUGCCACAUGGUGUGUUCUUUGGUGGGUUGAAAUGUUAAAAACAAGAGGAUGCUGUAUCUCUGAUGGGGUAAUAAUCGUUUCCCUUUUGUGAAUAAAAAUGUUAAUAUAUGAGAAUUUUGUUAAAAAAACUUAAAUUUUUUGCAGGAACCUGUUCAUUCACAUCUUAUUGUUGUGGUCAUUAUGUUAAGGAAGUAUCGAUCAAGGUAUUGCAGUUUUUGUUACCAGAUCAUAUCUGAAUAAUUAAAUAGAUAAUUUUGUUUUACUAUUCAUUAUCGAAUAUCAAUGUUUCUGGAAACAAUAGAUGAAUGAUUUAUCAAUCUUCUUAGAGUAAUAUUACGUUUUUGGUCCCUGAGUGUUGUGUAGCUGAUUUUUUCAAAAAUAUUCUGUGAACCACAAGUUCCCUUAUAUUAAUUACUAUUCUUAGUUCCAAUUCCUUUGACAAAAUGCAUUCAUUACUCUGCAACAAGAAAAGGUUUUAGAAACCAAAUAAAGCNAGGAGUUACUUGGAAUGCCGCCAGAGACGAACCUUGCAGCAAAACUAAAUUUGAUUGUUAAUUAUUUGUGUGUUUUUUUUUUUAGUUUUUUAUUAUACACAAUAUUCUGCUAAUCGAUUACUAAAAAUAGUAUUUCAAGAAAAUCCAACAGAACUGAAUUCCGUCCCAAUUGUCAACCAAACACGUCAUGAAAUGGAAUCUCGAAUUCCAAUUCUGUCGGAACCCGCGAUUCCAUUUCUUAGCUGCAGUUUCUAACAUGUAUAUUAUUACUGUUUUGAUAUGGCAGCUCAUUUCACAACUACUUCAAACAAAACGACUGCUUCUGUUUCUACUGGAUUCUGAUAUAAUUCAAAAAGGCAAGUAAGUUUACUCUUCUACCCUCACAAACUACACUACUAAUUUGACAAUUUAGAAAGAUUUUUUUUUUUGGAAAAAGAUGGUAUUAUGGUGGCUCAGUUGGACUUAAUCACAUCAUGUCAAAAUUGUUGUUUGUUGUAGACUUAAUGAGCAGCCUAAAUUUACAUUGUAUUUUCAUUUGUAUUUUAUAAUCAGUAAGGCUUAUUAUUGAUGCUCAAUAAGGUGUGUGGUUAUUGCAUUGAAUCUCAAAUAAGGAUGCUGGGUGAUUACCACUGAUUACAAAAAGAUCAUAUGAGUCUCUGACCCUGUUUGUGUAUUUCCAGAAAUACCCAUCUGUUCCUAACCUAAAACUUAUGUUUAUUUAUUAUCUUCAGGAAAUGAUGGGAUUAACACACUUCAUGUUGAUCCAAUCAAAUAAAGAUGUUGAAUAUUGCAUGGAAAACACCUUCAGCAGUUAUUUAGUAGACCUGUUUUUUUUUUUNUUUUUGAAAAAAA